CAAAAUUGUUUUUAUGACUUAUUAGAUUUUUAUUUUUAAAAACCACAUGUAUUAUUCAAAAUCUAAAAAUAGUUGACUCCUUUAAAAAUAUUAUUGUCCACACUAAAAUAUAAUAGGUAUUUUUGGUUUAUUAUUGGGAUCUGUAGGGACAUUUUCAUUUUUUCUCAUAAACAACAAUCCAUCAAUGACACGUCCAAAUACCACAUGUUUCUCAUCCAAGACGUUAUAGUUCACACAAGUGAUAAAAAAUUGGCAUCCAUAUGGAGGAGAAACUAUUUGAAAAUUAAAAAUAUGCCCUUAUUUAAGGUACAUGGAGUAGGGGUAAAAAAUUAAAAAUGGUUUCAAAAUAAAGCUUAAUCCAUUCCACAAUGAUCAGAAAAAACAGAAAUCAAAUUUACUUAAAAUCCUCUAAGAUAAUUGCUGGUUCAUGAUAAAGAAAUCGCCCUGUCAUACAAAUAAAAAAUGUAUGUAUUUUAUGGUUAUUUUUAUUUUUAUAUUACCUAUAAAUAUAUUUAAACGUAAUUAAAUAAAAUAAGUUUAUUUAAUCUAUGCCG